rnacentral:lncRNA from 13 species
AAUGGACAUAGACCAAGGGAGCACGGAAUGUGUGUGUGAGAUGUGAAUAUGUAUGUAUGUCAGAGUGUGGUAUGAGUUAUAUGUAUAUAUAUAUAUAUAUAUAUAUGAGAGAGAGAUUGUGUGUGCCUUGCCUUUUAGAGAAAUAUUGUGCUAUAAUUUAUUGUAGAAAGCAAAAACAAUGAACAACCAUGUGAAACCAACAAAUGACACUUACCAUCUUCUCAUUAAUCAACAUACCUUGAGAUUCUUGUUGCUGUUGGUGCUUUUGCAUGUUGUACUCUUUUUAUUUGUUUUUAUGUUCAGUCUUCAUCUUCUAUUUCAUUAAUAGGUAAGAUAAGCUUUUUCAUUUGAGGUGAAAUGUAUAAUUGCUUCAGUAACAGCCUUCUAUUUUACCUGGAUAUGACUGCCUUUUAUCAUGUUAAGAGCCAAUGUCUUUGACAUUCCUCAUCUGUCAGGUUAAAGUUUUCCUGGAACUUUCUCCAAGUCAGGUUGAAGUUUCCCCAGAAAUGUUGUCCUUGUUUUUUUUCAUUGUCACUCAUAGCUCAUUGACAGAGCGGGUAGAGAAUAGUUUACUCAUUCAGCACACUGUUUAUGCAAAGGGAGGAGCAGAGCCUAUUGUCAAUUCUGUACAUGAACUACUGAUAACAAAUAAGAACACGAAUAAGCUACUGGGACUCUCAAGUUUCAGAAAAAUUUCACCGGCUCAGAUUCUGAUACAAGUUGACACAAAAUCUGCCUCAACUCAACAACCUGAUCUGUUACUGGAAUACCCACAAGCCUAUGUUGGCGUGAGGUCAUCAUGUAUGUGGAUACUACUACACCACGGUGCUGAACACCCAGAAGAACUGCUUUCUGGGAACUGUAGUCACAACACUUAUUUAGGCCAUGACACAGUCAUUACUUUUGAUGUCCUGUUUUCUCUUGAAACUUGUUUGUUAUGUAUGCCAUGCCCUGUUGUGAAUAUGUAUGGUGAGAGAGAUACCGUCCAUGCAGAGUUCAUGUACUGUUCGCAGAUUAAAAAGCAGGGGUACACGAUAUUGUACAUCAUUCCUUUCAUUCAAUUUUUGAAUUUUUAAUGCUUGUUUAAACACAGGUGUUUUAUCGCAUCCUAUGAAUGUAUGUUAAUACCCCGGAGUGUACAUAGCUGCAUCCAUGCGAAAGACACAGAAGACUAUAAUAACAUAUCUUAAGUCUGUGGUUGUGAUGAUUUCUAGUGGAACCCCUAAACGUGUACAUAACAGAACGUUUCAGUACAUAUGAAUAUAUUAUAUAUUUUUUCUUUGUUCUACCCAAGAUGCAUUUACAAAUAAAAAUGGAAACAAUCCUGUGUAGAUUACCCUCUAUUAUUUCUGCUCAUUUUCUCAUGUGAAUUUAUUAGAGCAAAAAAUAGUCAAUGUUUGGAGGUAACAAAUCAUCGUUUAACAAAAUAUACAGUAUUAGUCAAAAAAUUUGGACACAACUACUCAUUCAAGGGUUUUUCUUUAUUUUGACUAUUUUCUACAUUGUAGAAUAAUAGGGAAGACGUCAAAACUAUGUUAAUAACUUCUUACGGCUGAAAUCCCGGAAACGGGAUCGAUUUGACAACAGCCAGUGAAAGUGCGGGGUGCCAAAUUCAAACAACAUAAAUCUCAUAAUUAAAAGUCCUCAAACAUAGAAGUAUUAUACACCAUUUUAAAGAUAAACUUGUUGUUAAUCCCACCACAGUGUCUGAUUUCAAAAAGGCUUUACGACGAAAGCAUACCAUGCGAUUAUGUUAGGUCAGCGCCUAGUCACAAAAACACAGCCUAUUUCCAGCCAAAGAGAGGAGUCACAAAAAGCAGAAAUAGAGAUAAAAUGUAUCACUAACCUUUGAUGAUCUUCAUCAGAUGGCACUCAUAGGACUCAUGUUACACAAUACAUGUAUGUUUUGUUCGAUAAAGUUCAUAUUUAUAUCCAGAAAUCUCAGUAUACAUUGGCACGUUAUGUUCAGUAAUGUUUUGCCUCCAAAACAUCCGGUGAUUUUGCAGAGAGCGACAUCAAUUUACAGGAAUACUCAUCAUAAACGUUGAUGAAAGAUACAAGUGUUAUGCAUAUAAUUAAAGAUAUACUUCUCCUUAAUGCAACCGCUGUGUCAGAUUUUUAAAAAGCUACAGUGCUCAGCCACCAAACAGAUACCCACCAUGUUGUGGAGUCAACAAAAGUCAGAAAUAGAAUUAUAAACAUCACUUACCUUUGAUGAUCUUCAUCGGAAUGCACUCCCAAGAAUCCCAGUUCUACAAUAAAUGUUAUUUUUGUUCGAUAAAGUCCAUCAUUUAUGCCCAAUCUCCUUUUUGUUCGCGUAUUUAGUCCAGUAAUCCAAAUGCACAAGGAGCAGGCACUAGGUCAAGACGAAAAGUCAAAAAAGUUAUAUUACAGUUAGUAGAAACAUGUCAAAUGAUGUAUAGAAUCAAUCUUUAGGAUGUUUUUAUCAUAAAUCUUCAAUAAUGUUUCAACCGGACAAUUCUUUUGUCUUUAGAAAUGAAAAGGAACAGAGCUCGUGCUCACGGCCACGCGCAUGACUAAACUAAUGGCAUUCUGCCAGACCCCUGGUUCAAACAGUUCUUAUUCACUCCCCCUUCACAGUAGAAGCCUGACACAAAGUUCUAAAGACUGUUGACAUCUCGUGGAAGCCGUAGGAAGUGCAAUCGGACCAAAUUUUACACUGUACAUUGGAUAGGCAAUCACUUGAAAAACUGCAAACCUCAGAUUUCCCACUUCCUGGUCGGAUUUAUCUCCGGAUUUUGCCUGCCAUAUGAGUUCUUUUAUACUCACAGACAUCAUUCAAACAGUUCUAGAAACUUCAGCGUGUUUUCUAUCCAAAUAUACUAAUAAUAUCUUCACAUAUCUUCACUUCUGGGCCUGAGUAGCAGGCAGUUUACUCUGGGCACGCUUUUUAUCCGAACGUGAAAAUAGCGCUGCCACUGCCGUUCAAAAGUUUGGGGUCACUUAAAAAUGUCCUUGUUUUUGAAAGAAAAGCUAAUUUUUUGUCCAUUAAAAUAACAUCAAAUUGAUCAGAAAAAAAGUGUAGACAUUGGUAAUGUUGUAAAUGACGACUGUAGCUGGAAAUGGCUGAUUUUUUAAGGAAUAUCUACAUAGGCGUACAGAGGCCCAUUAUCAGCAACCGUCACUCCUGUGUUCCAAUAAAAAAUAUUCAUAUUUUACAUAGGUUUAAAGAUGAACUUCUUGUUAAACCAACCACAGUGUCAUAUUUAUAAAAUUAUUUUCGGCGAAAGCAUACCUAGCCCAGAACAUACCUAGCCCAGAACAUAGCCCAGUUGACAAAUUACUACAAACAGUAACCAGCGAGAGAAGAGAAUAAAUUAAUCCCUUACCUUUGAUGAUCUUCAUAUGGUGGCAAUCAGAAUACAUUAAUUUACUCAAUAAAUGUUCCUUUUGUUCGAUGAAGUCUCUUUAUAUCCAAAAAUCUCCGGUUUGUUAGCACGUUUUCUUCAGUAAUCCACAGGCUCAAAUUCAGUCAAAACAAUCAGACAAAAAAUCCAAAUUGUAUCUGUAAAGUUCAUGUUUAUAUUCAAUCCUCAGGUUGUUUUCUAACCUAAAUGAUCUAUAAUAUUUCAACCGGACAAUAACGUAGUCAAUAUAAAAGGUAAACAAGAAAGCACAUGAGUCUGAAAAACUCUGCGUCACGUUAGCGUCCACUCGUUCAGACUGGUCUUACUCGCUCAUUUAUAAGAAUACAAGCCUGAAACGAAUUCUAAAGACUGUUGACAUCUAGUGGAAGGCAUAUGAACUGCAAAUGGAGUCCUAAGUCAAUGGAUACUGUAAUGGCAUUGAAUAAAAAACUACAAAACAAAAAAAAAACAAAUUUUCUCAGGUUUUCGCCUGCUAAAUCAGUUAUGUUAUACUCACAGACACUAUUUUAACAGUUUUGGAAACUUUAGAGUGUUUUCUAUCCAAAUCUACCAGUUAUAUGCAUAUCAUAUCUAUGGGCCCGAGUAGCAGACCGUUUAAUUUGGGCAUGCUUUUCAUCCAAAAUUCUGAAUGCUGGCCCCUACCCUAGAGAGGUUAAGAACACAUUCUUAUUUACAAUGAAGGCCUAGGAACAGUGGGAUAACUGCCUUGUUCAGGGGCAGAACAACAGAUUGUACCUUGUCAGCUAAGGAUUCGAUCUGGCAAACUUUUGGUUACUGGCCUGGGGUAGCCUUGCUGGUUACGUGUGCCUUGAAUUCUAAAUAAAUCACAGACAGUGUCACCAGCAAAGCACCCCCCACACAAUCACACCUCCUCCUCCAUGCUUCAUGGUGGGAACUACACAUGCAGAGAUCAUCCGUUCAUCUACUCUGUGUUUCACAAAGACACGGUGGUUGGAAUAAAAAUCUCUAAUUUUGACUCAUCAGACCAAAGGACAGAUUUCCACCGGCUAAUGUCCAUUUCUCGUGUUUCUUGGCCCAAGCAAGUCUCUUCUUAUUGGUAUCCUUUAGUAGUGGUUUCUUUGCAGCAAAUUGACCAUGAAGGCCUGAUUCACACAGUCUCUGAACAGUUCAUGUUUAGGUGAAGUCUGUGAAGCAUUUAUUUGGGCCGCAAUUUCUGAGGUGCAGUUAACUCUAAUGAACUUAUCCUCUGCAGCAGAUGUAACUCUGGGUCUUCCUUUCAUGUGUUAUUCCUCAUGAGAGCCAGUUGCAUCAUAGCGCUUGAUGAUUUUUGCGACUGCACUUGAAGAAACGUUAAAAGUUCUUGAAAGUAUCCAGAUUGACUGACCUUCAUGUCUUAAUGUAAUUGACUGUCAUUUCUCUUUGCUUAUUUGAGCUGUUCUUGCCAUAAUAUGGACUUGGUCUUUUACCAAAUAGGGCUAUCUUCUGUAUUCCACCUCUACCUUGUCACAACACAACUGAUUGGCUCAAACACAUUAAGAAGGAAAGAAAUUCCACAAACUGUCAUCAAGGCAAAGGGUGGCUAAUUUGACGAAUCUCAAGUAUAAAAUACAUUUUGAUUUGUUUAACACUUUAUUGGUUACUACAUGAUUCCAUAUGUGUUAUUUCAUUGUUUUGAUGUCUUCACUAUUAUUCUACAAUGUAUUAAAUCGUAAAAAUCAAGAAAAACCCUUGAAUGAGUAGGUGUGUCCAAACUUUUGGCUGGUACUGUAUUAUGCAUUGUAUCAUUAUUUGAGCUAAAUAUUCUUAUGAAUGAAUUUAUUAACACAAAUACAUGUUUAUAUAUAAACAAUUUAUUAAAAGUGUAACCAUAUACAGUGCGGCCCAAAAUUAUUGUCACCCUUGAAAAAUAUGAGCAGAAAUUACUGUAUAAAAUAAAUAACAACAAUUCUCAGCUAUAUUGUAUGCUCCAAAUAAUUGGGAAUUUAUAAUCAUUUUACUAAUACAAUUGUUUCAGAGAAAGAGAUUUUGUUUAAAAUAAAAUCUCCAAAAGUUUGGGGUCAGGAUUAUUGACGCCCCUGUGAGGAUCACGGCACUGAGCCUUUUUCUAAAAUGUUUUAUGAGUUGGAGAACAUAUUGGGAGGGAUCUUAGAACAUUCCUCCAUACAGAAUCCUUCCAGAUCUUUGAUAUCCUUUGUCUGGGCUUAUGGACUGCUCUUUUCAAUUCAAACCAAUAAGGGAUCAUACUGUGCCUUUCACCUGGAUUCACCGGGUCAGUCUAUGUCAUGGAAAGAGCAGAUGUUCCUAAUAAGUUUUGUGCACUCAGUGCAUGGCCUCUAUUUACGUGAUUUCCAUUUUGAUCAACGUGUGCACCUAUGCACGCCUUCACGUAUACAAGCAGCAGUCGAAAACAUCUAGUGUUCCAUGUGCAGAAUGUGCUGACUCACCCACCAUCAGUAGACAGUCAAAAUGUUGUUAUGGACCGGGAGCAAUGAGGAGGGGGGACGGAGGACUUUAAAACGCUUACGCUCGCCCAGGAUCCUGGGUCUGGUUUGCUGAGUUGGGGAAAAAAAGUUAAGGUGAGUGUUGAGAAUGUACUGUAUGUGGAUAUUUAAUGUAUGUAUGUGUGUAUUUGUGUCUCUCUCUCUCUCUGUGUGUGUGUGUGUGUGUGUG